GCUGUUUCACUUCUUGUUGUUGGUUUUUUUAAGGUGGGAAAAACCAGGGCGUAAAGCUGAGUUUAGCUACGAUUUUUGGUACCAACCUCGACAUAAAACGAUGAUCUGCUCAUCGUUUGGUGCUCCUUUGGCAUUCACCCAAGGUUUUAACCUUAAACAUGUCGAAGACGGUUUCUAUGGAAGACAACUGUUUGUGUAUGAUUGGCCUGAUGGUCGGCUCAAACAGACAUUGGAUCUCGGUGACAAUGGUCUUAUCUCCGGAGAGGUAACUUUAAGGGUUAAUUAAACCAAAUCUUUAUUAACUACUAUACUAAUCACCUUAUUUUAUCGGUCUAAUUAAUACUCACUUUGAAAUAUAUUUAAAAUAUGUAUCAUAUUAUAAAUUUAUAUAUACUUAUAGCCAAUAUUACCAAAACCAUACUUGUGGCCAGCAUCUACUUUCUUAGCCAAUAUUUACUUCAUAUUUUGUGUAUGCAAAAUGCAAUAAAUCCUGCUUUCUUAGACUUGGAAUUCGCUAUAUGCAUGUAUAUACACUGAUGUGUUUUCUUUGCAGAUAAGAUUCUUGCAUGAUCCAACCAAAGACACAGGGUACGUCGAGUGUGUCCUAUCAAGCAACGUAGUACGGUUUUUCAAGACCCAAGAUGGAUCAUCAUGGAGUCACGAGGUGGCUAUCUCAGUGAAACCAUUGAAGGUACAAAACUGGAUUCUCCCCGAAAUGCCCGGACUCAUAAUCGGCCUUUUAAUCUCUCUCGACGACCGGUUCCUAUAUUUCGUCAACUGGUUCCACGGCGAUGUCCGACAAUACAACGUUGAAGACCCCAAAAACCCAAUCUUGGUCGGCCAAGUAUACGUCGGAGGAUUGCUUCAAAAGGGCAGCCCCAUAACAGCAGUCACAGAAGAUGGAAAAACAUGGCAAGCCGAUGUUCCUAAAAUCCAGGUCUUGUUCUUUCAACAUUGAUAUAAUAACAAAAUUGUCGGAUUAGGCCUAUCAAUGGCGAUAUUGAUGCUGAACAUUGUUUUUGUUUGUUUUUGUAGGGACAUUGUCUCAGAGGGGGACCUCAUAUGACACAGUUAAGCUUAGAUGGGAAGCGGCUGUAUGUGACGAACUCGUUGUUUAGCACAUGGGAUCGACAGUUUUACCCUGAUGUUAUAGAGAAAGGUUCACAUAUGAUACAGAUUGAUGUGGACAUUGAGAAUGGUGGUCUGAAAAUAAACCCAGAUUUUUUUGUUGAUUUUGGAGCUGAACCUGAUGGUCCUUGUUUGGCUCAUGAGAUGAGAUACCCAGGUGGUGAUUGUACCUCAGAUAUUUGGAUUUAAAUCAUAUGAAGAAAAAAACAGUUUCAGUUAUGAAGACAAAACAAUCAAUGUAAUCUUGUUGACUGUUGUGAAUUAAAAGAACACGUGUUCUUGGAGGAGAUAAUGUAAUAAUAUCAUCACAUCCACAUGUACCUUGGACUCUCAAUGUUCUAAAACUUGGCCGUUGUUGCUCAUUGUUGAUAUGAUUUGGACUUUGGAGUAUCCUAAGAGAGGUCCAAAAGGUGUCAACUAAAUAAAGCAAAAAAGUACAAUGGGUAACAAACUUAAACCCAGCUCACAAGGUGUCCUAAGCCCAUAGGAACACCGACUAGCAAGGGUUUGGAGUCAUCCCCAACAACCGUUGGAUCACUGUGAAAACAAAAGAGAUGAAUAAAUAUCGAGACAAACAAUCAUUCCUGCCUUCAUCCACCAAACCUUUAAAUCUCUCAUCGCAUUCCAUUGGUGACUCAAAGAGUAGUGAAGGAACUUAAAGAAACAACUUGUUCGGGGUUCGUUCGGGAUUCCAAUAGGACUUGGAAAAAGCAUUACCCCUUCCGGGAAAGGCAAGCCAACUCCAACUUCAUUAAGCCAUCAAUAAGCAUGGUCACAUCUGACAUACAUCUUAUUCAUGGUUAGUUGUUUUAGUAAUAUUAUUUUUAGAGUUGGAACUUAAGUUAUCUCUUUUGAAGUAUAAUGUGUUUUAACAAAACAUUUUAUAUUUAUUAAUUAAUUAAUAAUUAUAUCUUUUAACGAGUAAUGUGAUAAAAUUCGUUAAUAAUGUAUAAAUCUAUAUAUAAAAAGUUGAUUGAGUCUUAGAUCAGUUGAUAUUGAUAUUAUUGUCAAUAUAAAAAGACAUAGGUUUGAAUGUGUAUAAAAACAAUCUAUGUCGAAGACAAUGGUAGGAAUUUUAUAUUAGAGUAGGAUAAUAUUAUAAAAUUUUGAAACCUAAAGCUAAGAUUUCUAGGUUAAGAAGCUUAAAUUGUUAAUUUUUGUAAAGGACCAAAAAAUAAUUUUUUUUUUUUAGAAUUAGAACUAAAUUAACAAAUUUUGAAGGCUAAAUUUAUUGAAUUUUUUAGCAUUCAAACUAAAAUGUCAAAUUUUGUGAACAUUGAGGGCUAAAUUUUUGUUGAAUAUUUUCUAUUUAGGACCAAAUUAAUAUAAUGUUUAAACAUUAGAGGGCUAAAUUUAUUAUUAGACCAAUAAAAAAAAAGGCUCAAAUCAACUUUAAAUUAACAAUUCAACAAACAAAAUAGAAUAAAGACAAUAGUUUAAGGAUCAUUUGAUUGUUUAACCUUAAUAAAAUCCAUAUUCAAUUAUUUUUUGAAAGAUAUAUUACCUUUAAAAAAAUACAUAUUUAUUUAUUAUUUAUAAACAUUAUACAUAAAUAAAUUUAAUAUAUAUUCAUAAAAAUAUUUACAAAUAUGUUGGUUUAAUGUUUACGAAGAAUUUCAUUUAACUUAAACAAAUAUAUAUAAUUUGAAAUAAAUAAAUAGAAACAUAAUUUUGAAACAUUUAACAUACAUGAACCGACCACAGCUAUUUUUUUAACAGUAAUAUUAUUAUAGGUUAUUAUCAUAUUUAAUUUUUUUGAUAUAAUAUCUAAAAUUAUUCAUAGCAUCUUCCUAACAUUUAAAUAAGAGGAUAAUGCGCUGCAGCGCACUCGAACUCAUGUUCUUCUACACUAACAAUAAUACCGAUAUUAAUCAAACUAAUACUUAAUCGACCGAACACCAAUAAUAUUAAAAAUAAAGGAAUAAAUAUAAACAAAAAUUCAUUUGUUGAAGAUGGGUUGCUCUGGAGGGUUACAAACACCAAUUUCAACGCAUUUGAGAAAAAAAGAAGAAAUAAAAGAUAUUUAAACCCACGGUUAAUAUAAUGUUUAAAACUAUCUAUAGUUUAUUCCUAAUUUUUAAAUAAAAGAAUAAUGGGGUUUAGCGCCCUUGAACUCACGUCCUCCUAUAUUAACAAUAAUACCAAUAUCAAUUGAGUUAAGACUUAAUUGACAAAAUACUUUAUAUAUAUAUAUAUAGUGGGUCCAAAUAUACAAAACAAUUCAUAAAAUCAAUAAUUGAAGAAUUGGACUCACACAUUUGAUCAUCCUCCGUCAAUGUAAACAUCAAUUCCAAAUCUAAAUUCUUGGUUAAAGUCUACUUCUAAUAAGUAAAGAUCAAUUUUAAUUUAACUUCUCCACUUCAAAAAAAUCAAAUUAGAUAAACUAAAAUAUUGUAAUUUGAUUGAAUUAGAACGCGUUGGAUUAAAUUGAGUGAAAUUUUUUUGAGUUAAUCAAGUUUAUGAGUUCUAUUUUAUCAUCUUAAUUUAAUUUAAAAAAAUUUCAAAUCAAGUCGAGUGAAAAUUUGAGUCAAGUCGAAUAGAGCGAAAUUGUUCGAGUUGAAUUAAAAAAUUAAACAUUUUAAUUAAAAUCUUGUUACAGUAUAAUUGAUUCCAUGUUAGACAUGUAAAUUUGAAAACUUUUUCAAAGCAAAAAAAAAAAAAAAAAUACUUCAGAAUAAUAAAGUUGAAUAAUUCAUUAACUUAUUUUAGGUUCCAAAAUUAUUAUUUUAGAAAAUUUUUAAAAUUUUAAUUUUCUUUAAAUUUUUUUUAAAACUUCCAUAAUUUUUUAAAAAAUAUAAAUGAAUUUUUAUAAAUAUUUUUAAUUUUAAAAUUAUUUUUAUUUUUGAAAACUACUAUGAAUUAUUUUGUAAUUUUUGUUGAGAGAGACCAAUCUAUUAUUUGGAUUGUAAAAUUCAACUUGACUCGAACUCAAAACUCGAAUUACUCAACCAACUCAAUCCGAUUAACUUGAAAUUCAAAUUUUUUUCCGAAUCGAAUUGAGUUUUGCUCCUCUAGUUUUAUUAUUAAAAAAAUUCUUAUAUUGAUAUUAAUAAAGUAUUAGAAAAUAUAUACUUAUAUUAAUAUUUAUUUUAUAAUUUAAAAAUAUUUUUAUUUAAGAUUAAUUAAAUAUAUAUUUACAUAUCAAAUGAAUUAGAAUAAGCUAAAAAAAUGGUGGGAAUUUUUAAAACGAAAACUAUGAAAACCAAAAUAAUUUUAGCUAUUAAAUCAAAAUAAAUAAAUUAGAAUAGUGAAUUUAUUGAUUAUUAAGAAAUUAAAAAUAGAAUAAGAAUUUAUUUUAUAAUCAAUGUUUAUUGUUUAUAAAAAUUCUUUAAUAAUAGGAAAUUUUUAUUUGUACUAUAUUUUAAUAGUUAAAAUAAUUAUAUAUUUUAAUAGCAUUCAUUAAUUAUUAUUUUAAAUAAUGAUUACAUGAACUAAAAUUAUAUUGUAUAUUAAAUUAUGAUUUGAAUUUUUUUAAAUAUUAUUAAAAAAUUAUUGAUUUAUAAAAUAUCAAUAUUUUAAUAUGAUAUUUGAAUUUUUAUUAUAUUUAAAUUUUUAAAUAAGUUAAUUAUUUUUUAUUACUUUUUAACCAUUUGAAGAACGAAUUAAAAUUUUAAUUAUAAUAAUUAAAAAUAUAUUAUAUAAAAAUAAUUUAAAAUUAAAUGUAUAAAAUCACAUUAUAACCAGUAAAAAAUAGUUAUAAAUUAAAAGCAAAAGAUAUAAACAUUUUUUAAAAAAUUAAAAUAAAUAGUUUCUAAUUUGUGACCCAAAAAAGUUAGGCACCCAGGCAUUUAUCUGCCCCCACAGCUACACAAAGAGCCUAUAAAUACAAAGGAUUUUCCCAUGCUUAUCACUACCAAAUUACUCAUACAAACCCUUUUUCUAAAGUAAAGUUUUUUUUUCCCCCCUUUUGGUAGUUUAUGAGUAUAGAGAGAGAGAGAGAGAGAGAAUUUGCCAUGGGUGAAGAAGUAGGGUGUUGCAAGAGAACAGGAACAGGAUAUGGAGCUCCAUUGGAAGCCAUGUCUGGUCCUAAAGAAGCUCUUAUCUAUGUUCCUUGUGUUUAUAAUGGUAAUACUACUUUUCUUUCAUUUUCUUUGAAACCACACAUGUUUUAAUUAAUUACUUAUGUUCAUCUAUGUGGGUUUUUUUUUUCGUUCUCUUCUUUUUUUUUUCUUUUUUUUUAUAUAUAUAAUGGAUUUGUAUGCAUCUAUAUAGGAACUGGAAGAGAGAAGCCAGAUUUCUUGGCAACAGUUGAUGUAGAUCCCAACUCACCAACUUACUCUAAAGUUAUACACAGGCUAUCUUUGCCAUAUAUAGGUGAUGAACUACAUCAUACGGGGUGGAAUGCUUGUAGUUCUUGUCAUGGUGAUCCAUCAUCUGAUCGACGGUUUUUGAUCCUGCCUUCUUUGCUGUAAGAAACUGUAACAUGUCUAAUUUUUUAGGGUAGAGUAAACUAUAUAGUUUUCAACUAACUUGGUUCAGUGGAGUUGGUUUUGAUGGUUAAGACAGUUUUGUAACCCAUUAAAACAGGUUAUAUCGGUGGACUAGAAAUAUUAGAUUGUGGUUGACUUAUUACGUGAAAAUAGAUGGUGAAAUUUAUAAAGUUUUGUCUUGAAAUCUUAUUUCAUAUAUAUAUUUAUGUAAAAGAUAUAAACGAAAAACACUCAUAGUACACUUUACCUUAUAAAACAAUAUCCACUUAUAAUCUAUUAAACCUAUUUAUGGGUCGAACAAAAAGGUUUAGCUAAAAAUAUUAGGUUCGAAAAAUAUUUAUGUUAUACAAACUUGAGUACGUGAGUGUUAAAGUUGAAUAAUAUAGCACAACUCGAUUGAGUUCUAAUUCGAUUGAUAUAGAUACUAUUGUCAAUAUAAAAAGACGUGAGUUCGAAUGUGUUGAAAUACAGUAUCUUUCUAUUUAUGAGUUAGGAAACCGUAACGAGUAACCUUAUCUUAAAAAAGAGAAUAUAAGUAUAGAAGUAUAUUAUGAGUAUUUUGCUUGUUUCAGCUCUGGUCGUAUCUAUGUGAUCGACACACAAAAGAACCCCAAGGCUCCCUCGUUGCACAAAGUGGUGGAACCUGAGCACAUCAUUGAGAAAACCGGCUUGGCAUAUCCCCAUACAUCUCACUGCCUUGCCAACGGCGACAUAAUCAUUUCAUUUCUCGGCGACAAAGAUGGAAACGCCCAAGGCAACGGAUUCCUUCUCCUCGAUUCCCAGUUCAACAUCAAAGGGAGGUAAAUGCAAAAACAAAAACAACAAUUUAGACCAUGAAAACAAUUGUCAUUAAGCUUAAGCUGUUUCACUUCUUGUUGUUGGUUUUUUUAAGGUGGGAAAAACCAGGGCGUAAAGCUGAGUUUAGCUACGAUUUUUGGUACCAACCUCGACAUAAAACGAUGAUCUGCUCAUCGUUUGGUGCUCCUUUGGCAUUCACCCAAGGUUUUAACCUUAAACAUGUCGAAGACGGUUUCUAUGGAAGACAACUGUUUGUGUAUGAUUGGCCUGAUGG
rnacentral:lncRNA from 1 species